CACUGAUUGGCUUCAGACUUGUGUUGUUCCAAAACUCCAUGUGGCACUCCAGUGCCAAUCAGAGUGGCGCCCAUGAACUUGCUGAAUCUGGUUGGAAGUAAAGCAAAAGCGUAUUGCUAUCUGAGUUAAGCCUUCCGGCCAGUUUGUAACAUUUAUAUUCAGUCUAGGAUCAAAACAGUUUUGAUUGCUUCCCUCUCCUUGGGCGCUGCCAUUGUUUUUUUAAUUUGCAGACUGCGGCAUUCCGUCCUCAGCCUGCUGAUUGGUUCUGGGGUUUUGGCAUUUUGAAAAAGGUUUUUUUUUUUUCUAAAGCAAUGAGGCCCGACUGACUUCCAGAGAUAAACAGAAUGUGUGAUAGGGGAUUGUCUCGGGGGCGAAGCCACAAAGCAGGUGACUACCUGCCCUCCCCAGUGAGGAUCACCGCCAGCAGAAGACCACUCGACCGCCUACUCUCCCCCGGGUUCCAAGGCAGAUGCUUUUGGUUCAGAUGUUGUGGUGGUGGGCACCCGACCCCCCCCCCCCCUGAGGUGGAGGGUCAAGCCCGUGCACUGAGGCAGAGGUUCAUCCAGGGGAGCGAGCUGUAGACCUCUCCCUCCCCUCCCAGGGGGCGAGGGCCACGUCGUGGGGGGCUGAGGGCCGCGUCCCCGCCCACUAGCUGCUCCCCUUCCGAGGCGUCUCCGCCCACACGGCGUAUCUCUGUCCACUAAGGGGAACAUCGCAGCACUGGCAGAGCUUCAGAAGCUCCGGCACAAUACCGCCUCGUACACAAUGGGGUUGUUCUCCUGCCAGGUUCCCUCACAGCGGAACACUUGGUCUUCAAGGUCCUCUUCAUCCUCCGCAGAAGAUGAAGAGGACCUGUGGGUGUGAUGGGACUCUCUUUGACUCCGCAGUCCUCAGAGUGACACAAUGAUGCUCAGUGAUUAGGGUUAUAGAGGUUUAGAGGAGAGGAGGUCUAGAGGUUAAGAGGAGAGGAGGCCAGGAGGUUUAGAGGAGAGGAGGACAGGAGGUUUAGAGGAGAGGAGGUUUAGAGGUUUAGAGGUUUAGAGGAGAGGAGGUCUAGAGGCUUAGAGGAGGUCUAGAG
ensembl:lncRNA